CCAUUAUUUUUUUUUGUUCUUGCUGUCUACUUGAUUAAUUUAAUUUUGGUUGUACUACACUUAAAAGAACUCACUGGGGUCCCCCAAUGGCACCACGUCCAUGAGCCCCAUGCCGCCGUCGUCGAGCAGCCAGCUCUCCAGCAUCGAGAACGCCGGCGCGGGGCCGCCGGCGCCGCCGCCGGUCGACCCCGACGCCUCGGGGCCCUUGCCGUUGCCGCCGCCGCCGCCGCCCGGGCGCAUCCAGCCCUGCAGCAGCCGCGCGAUGUUGUCCGCGCUCGACGCGUACGCCGCCGACGACCCCGCUGGCGUCGCCGCCGUCGCCGGCGACGGGUCGGGGUGGUCGAGCGAGAGCGCGUCGCGCAGCGCCUGCCGCGCCGUGUGGAUGUCCGUCUGCAGCCGCCGCUCCCACUGCCCCUUAGGUGCGGCGGCCUUCACGCUUUUCCCGCCGCCGUCGCCGUCGCCGCGGCCGCCGCCACCCUCCGAGGCGGCGCCGCCGUCUUCCCCACCUCCGGCGGCCUGCAUCUUCUUGAGCUUCUUCUUGAGGUGCGUGUUCCAGUAGUUCUUGAUGUCGUUGUCCGUCCUCUCCGGCAAGUACGACGCUAUCGCUGCCCACCUACACAGCCAGCAACCCACUCAUCAGCCAUGGACGCCAUGGACAAAUCAAUCAAAGCAAACCAUGAAAAACCAAGAAGAAAUCACCGGUUGCCGAGGAGAGCCUGGAGGUGGACGAUGAGCUUCUCCUCCUGCUCGGUGAAGUUCCCCCGCUUGAUCCCCGGCCUGAGGUAGUUCGUCCACC
rnacentral:lncRNA from 1 species